rnacentral:rRNA from 1 species
GACGAACGCUGGCGGCGUGCCUAAUACAUGCAAGUAGAACGCACAGUUUAUACCGUAGCUUGCUACACCAUAGACUGUGAGUUGCGAACGGGUGAGUAACGCGUAGGUAACCUGCCUGGUAGCGGGGGAUAACUAUUGGAAACGAUAGCUAAUACCGCAUAAUAUUGAUUAUUGCAUGAUAAUUGAUUGAAAGAUGCUAUUGCAUCACUACCAGAUGGACCUGCGUUGUAUUAGCUAGUAGGUGAGGUAACGGCUCACCUAGGCGACGAUACAUAGCCGACCUGAGAGGGUGAUCGGCCACACUGGGACUGAGACACGGCCCAGACUCCUACGGGAGGCAGCAGUAGGGAAUCUUCGGCAAUGGACGAAAGUCUGACCGAGCAACGCCGCGUGAGUGAAGAAGGUUUUCGGAUCGUAAAGCUCUGUUGUAAGCGAAGAACGGGUGUGAGAGUGGAAAGUUCACACUGUGACGGUAUCUUACCAGAAAGGGACGGCUAACUACGUG